rnacentral:rRNA from 3 species
CGCGAAGAACCUUACCUGGUCUUGACAUCCAUAGAAUUUUUUAGAAAUAAGAAAGUGCCUUUUAGGAACUAUGAGACAGGUGCUGCAUGGCUGUCGUCAGCUCGUGUUGUGAAAUGUUGGGUUAAGUCCCGCAACGAGCGCAACCCUUUUCCUUUUUUGCCAGCGGUUCGGCCGGGAACUACAAGGAUACUGCCGGUUAUAAACCGGAGGAAGGUGGGGACGACGUCAAGUCAUCAUGGCCCUUACGACCAGGGCUACACACGUGCUACAAUGGUACAUACAAAGAGAAGCAAAUUCGCGAGGAUAAGCAAAUCUCAUAAAGUGUAUCUUAGUUCGGACUGGAGUCUGCAACUCGACUCCACGAAGUCGGAAUCGCUAGUAAUCGUGAAUCAGAAUGUCA